UACAGAGGUCUCAAGCGUUGUUCGGAUUCAUUGGGCGUAAAGGGCGCGUAGGCGGCGGGGUAAGUCGGGUGUGAAAUCUCAGAGCUUAACUCUGAAACUGCACUCGAUACUGCUCUGCUUGAGGACUGGAGAGGAGACUGGAAUUCACGGUGUAGCAGUGAAAUGCGUAGAUAUCGUGAGGAAGACCAGUGGCGAAGGCGGGUCUCUGGACAGUUCCUGACGCUGAGGCGCGAAGGCCAGGGGAGCAAACGGG
rnacentral:rRNA from 1 species